AAUUGUAUCGUCAACUUAACCUAUAUUUGCUCUUUCUCUCACGGCGUUGAUCCUCCCAUCUCUGUCCUCGAUCCGCUUCUCUCAUGGGGCCAUAUACACACACUGGUCCUUGGUCUCAACUUCACCCGCCUCCGUCUCCAGGGACGGAUCGAAGGAAACGUCAACAGUUCUGUGCUUAACUCGAGAAAUCUAAGAUCUGAUUACGAUUCUCCCCAUGCGGCUCCUGUUUCAGUGAAAGGAAGAAGUUGCAUUGAUCUGAACAAUGAUAUUGACGAAGGAGAAGAUCGGAUUGGAAGAUGAAGGUGUGGCUAGGAUCAAUAGAAAGCUCUCUGAUGAUUUUCUUUUUCUGAAAAGGAAGUCUCUGAUGAUUUUGAUAGAGUCUUUGGAGAGAUGAAAACCAAAGCCAAUAAGAAAUCAAUUAAAUCUGAUUCGGUGAGGAAGAUAUUGAAGGAGAAGCAGAAGACUAGGGUUGAGGAAACAAGUCCAACGAGAACAUCUCCAAGAUUGUAUUUAUAACUCCUGGAGAUUUUCGACGAACAUAAAAAGUGAAGGGGAACACAAGAUUUGGGAUCAGUGGAGAAUUUUCAGAUCUUUGUAAGCGAUUAUUGAAUGAUUGUUUACCAAGAUGAACUCAAAAUUUCGAUGCAGAGAGGCAUGCAUUGCAUAAGGAAACCGCAAGCAUAGUGAUUGGCAGAAGACUUAUGAUCUGUUCAUAUUAAAAAGUCCAGGCAGUGGUUUAUAACGGUAUAUAUACUCAUAACGGAACGGAGGUGGAAGCAGGAAUAAAAAACAUGGAAGAUGGUAUUGAACAAGAGAACUAAAUUUCACCUAAAUGUUUAAGACAUUUUAUCGUGUAACCAAGUGACUAAUUGCAUAUGUACAAUUAACGAUGACAACACAUUCUAUUUGAUAGGGCAUCAACUGUGAAAGCCCAUAACAUUGUUAAAUACUAUAGGAAAAAAAAGAGAAAAUUAAUUAAGUCGACAUGU